rnacentral:rRNA from 1 species
CAAUGGGGCGCAAGCCUGAUGCAGCCAUGCCGCGUGUGUGAAGAAGGCCUUCGGGUUGUAAAGCACUUUCAGUCGUGAGGAAGGUGGUAGUGUUAAUAGCACUAUCAUUUGACGUUAGCGACAGAAGAAGCACCGGCUAACUCCGUGCCAGCAGCCGCGGUAAUACGGAGGGUGCGAGCGUUAAUCGGAAUUACUGGGCGUAAAGCGCAUGCAGGUGGUUUGUUAAGUCAGAUGUGAAAGCCCGGGGCUCAACCUCGGAAUAGCAUUUGAAACUGGCAGACUAGAGUACUGUAGAGGGGGGUAGAAUUUCAGGUGUAGCGGUGAAAUGCGUAGAGAUCUGAAGGAAUACCGGUGGCGAAGGCGGCCCCCUGGACAGAUACUGACACUCAGAUGCGAAAGCGUGGGGAGCAAACAGGAUUAGAUACCCUGGUAGUCCACGCCGUAAACGAUGUCUACUUGGAGGUUGUGGCCUUGAGCCGUGGCUUUCGGAGCUAACGCGUUAAGUAGACCGCCUGG